rnacentral:snoRNA from 1 species
GAGGUAUGAGGAAAAUAUCUAUCAGUCUGGAAAUACCAUUGAAGACUGUAAGAUCCAACUCUGACCUCAGCCUAGGC